rnacentral:rRNA from 1 species
CAACUUUCAGCAACGGAUCUCUUGGCUCUCGCAUCGAUGAAGAACGCAGCAAAAUGCGAUAAGUAUUGUGAAUUGCAGAAUUCAGUGAAUCAUCGAAUCUUUGAACGCACCUUGCACUCCUUGGUAUUCCGAGGAGUAUGCCUGUUUGAGUGUCAUUA